GAUGAACGCUGGCGGCGUGCCUAAUACAUGCAAGUCGAGCGAACAGACGAGGAGCUUGCUUCUCUGACGUUAGUGGCGGACGGGUGAGUAACACGUGGAUAACCUACCUAUAAGACUGGGAUAACUUCGGGAAACCGGAGCUAAUACCGGAUAAUAUAUUGAACCGCAUGGUUCAAUAGUGAAAGACGGUUUUGCUGUCACUUAUAGAUGGAUCCGCGCCGCAUUAGCUAGUUGGUAGGGUAACGGCUUACCAAGGCAACGAUGCGUAGCCGACCUGAGAGGGUGAUCGGCCACACUGGAACUGAGACACGGUCCAGACUCCUACGGGAGGCAGCAGUAGGGAAUCUUCCGCAAUGGGCGAAAGCCUGACGGAGCAACGCCGCGUGAGUGAUGAAGGUCUUCGGAUCGUAAAACUCUGUUAUUAGGGAAGAACAAAUGUGUAAGUAACUAUGCACGUCUUGACGGUACCUAAUCAGAAAGCCACGGCUAACUACGUG
rnacentral:rRNA from 1 species